AGAGUUUGAUUCUGGCUCAGAACGAACGCUGGCGGCAUGGAUUAGGCAUGCAAGUCGAACGAAGCAGCAAUGCUUAGUGGCGCAAGGGUGAGGAACACGUGAGUGACCUACCCGCAAGUUUGGAACAGCUCCUGGAAACGGGAAUUAAUACCGGAUGUGAUCAAUGAGCUGCAUGGUUUAUUGAUUAAAGCAGCAAUGCGCUUGCGGAUGGGCUCGCGUCCCAUUAGCUAGUUGGUGAGGUAACGGCCCACCAAGGCCAUGAUGGGUAGCUGGUCUGAGAGGACGACCAGCCACACUGGGACUGAGAACUGCCCAGACUCCUACGGGAGGCUGCAGUCGAGAAUUUUGGGCAAUGGACGAAAGUCUGAACCCCCAGCAAUGCCGCGUGCGGGAUGAAGGUCUUCGGAUUGUAAACCGCUGUUUGGAGGGACGAAAAUUGACGGUACUUCCAGAGGAAGCCACGGCUAACUACGUGCCAGCAGCUGC
rnacentral:rRNA from 1 species